CAAAACCACAUCAAAUUUCAAGCAUGUGCACUAAAAUAUAAGUCUAAACUCUUGACUGACAUUAUUAUCGCAUUUGUGAAAUAUGACGAUUGAUGAUUCAUUGACAUGAAUCGGCACUUUAUCGACGUAAAUGCUUGAGUAUGUGUAUUAUUGAUGUUUGUACUUAGAACCAGUUCCAUCAUCUUAUUUUGUAGAGCCUCCUCGCCGUGUCCCAGACGUAGCAGAUGCCGUUCAUCCACAUCCAGCUCUGCUACCUUUUCGAACAGCUGAUUGAGUGCUUGGUUACUGUGAGUGACCACAAGGUUGCGCUGCCACGGAAAGUUGUGGUACAGGUUCGAUAUGAUCUGUACAGCUACGUCAGUUUUACCUGUCGAAGAUCAUGAAAUACUUUCAAUAAUGAAAUGCUACUGGUGGUAAAUGUGAUAACUUUGCUUGUUUUUAGUAGUGUCAAGUAUAAAAUGCUUUAAAUAA